AACGAACGCUGGCGGCAGGCUUAACACAUGCAAGUCGAACGCAUCGCAAGAUGAGUGGCAGACGGGUGAGUAACGCGUGGGAACAUACCCUUUUCUACGGAAUAGCUCUGGGAAACUGGAAUUAAUACCGUAUACGCCCUACGGGUGAACGAUUUAUCGGGGAAGGAUUGGCCCGCGUUGGAUUAGCUAGUUGGUGGGGUAAAGGCCUACCAAGGCGACGAUCCAUAGCUGGUCUGAGAGGAUGAUCAGCCACAUUGGGACUGAGACACGGCCCAAACUCCUACGGGAGGCAGCAGUGGGGAAUAUUGGACAAUGGGCGCAAGCCUGAUCCAGCCAUGCCGCGUGAGUGAUGAAGGCCUUAGGGUUGUAAAGCUCUUUCACCGAUGAAGAUAAUGACGGUAGUCGGAGAAGAAGCCCCGGCAAACUUCGUGCCAGCCGCCGCAGUAACAC
rnacentral:rRNA from 1 species